rnacentral:rRNA from 1 species
AGUGAACGCUGGCGGUAGGCCUAACACAUGCAAGUCGAACGGCAGCACAGUAAGAGCUUGCUCUUACGGGUGGCGAGUGGCGGACGGGUGAGGAAUACAUCGGAAUCUACUUUUUCGUGGGGGAUAACGUAGGGAAACUUACGCUAAUACCGCAUACGACCUACGGGUGAAAGCAGGGGAUCUUCGGACCUUGCGCGAUUGAAUGAGCCGAUGUCGGAUUAGCUAGUUGGCGGGGUAAAGGCCCACCAAGGCGACGAUCCGUAGCUGGUCUGAGAGGAUGAGCGGCCACACGGGAACUGAGACACGGUCCAGACUCGUACGGGAGGCAGCAGUGGGGAAUAUUGGACAGAGGGCGCAAGCGUGAUCCAGCCGUACCGCGUGGGUGAGGAAGGCCUUCGGGUUGUAAAGCCGUUUUGUUGGGAAAGAAAAGCAGCAGGUUAAUACCCCGCUGUUCUGACGGUACCGGAAGGAUAGGCAGGGGCUGGGUUGGUG